AGACAUUCCGCCGCUAGACGAAGGUCACCGAGCAGCGACGAAGUUUGCAUUUUCGGUAGAGGUCCAGGGAGCCACGAGGGCGGUGCUAAAGAGACGCGGGUUGCUGACCCCCGGCCUACACCCUAGACUGGCCGCCAGUUCAUCACAGGACACAUGAACAAGCCUUCGCCCUCAAAUCAGAGAAAGCAGCAUCUGCUCAUCCAGAAACAACAACACCAGAAAUGUGUCCCGUGAAAAACCGUCCGACCAGAACUCUAAUAACUAAAGUUCCUUGGGUGAAUAAUGGUAACUCACUACACCGGUAUGUUUUAGGGCUUUCAUGGCGAGUUUACUGACUGAAAUAAGUAAUAACUUUACACUGCUUUUUAUUAGAAAUGGCAACAGCAGAGGAUGGAUGUCCCAUAACAAGAAGGUGGAGAAAAAGAAGAAGCUUAUCGACUACGGUGUCGGCACGGACUACAAAGGCGGACCUGCACAAAUUUUCAGGUACCAGAAGGUAAGAAAAGUUUC